UUUGCAGCAUGUACCUCUCCAUAGGGCAGGAAACACAUGGCAGCUGGGUUCAGCACAGCAAGCAAGAGAGAAUGUGUAAGAAAAUGCUAGCAAGAUGAGAGCCAUGGUGUUUUGGUAACCUAGUCGUAAUACCAGCAUUUUUAAUAUUACCGCUGGAAGGCUUAGAAGUGUGUCUUUGCAAUGACAAAAUACAUUGAGAAGCAAUUUACAUCCUAAAUAAUUGUGGCUGAAUGAAAAUGGAGAUUGACAAAAAGAUCUUAUCAGUUUUUCUGUUUUGGAAGUUGAGGAAGACGUGUUAUAUUCCUAUAUUAGAAGAUCUAUUUAUGCUGAUUAAUAUGAGCCAGAAGAGAAAAGGGAUGGAUGAUGCAGAAGACACAUAGAGAUCUGAUAAAGUGAAAAUUCUUACAGUGGCAAAAAGAUGGGUUUCAGUAUGCUUUUGUACAUUAGGGAACUCAUUUUCCUCUGGGUGGUUAAAAGAUUGCCAAGGAGAAUUUUAGCAUCGACAGUUUUAAAGGAAUCAAUUUUCAGCAACUCAAUUUUCAUGUGAACUUUUCUAAAGCGAUGUCGCUGAAAAAUUUAUCUAUACUCAGGAUACACUUUUUUGUUCCCAAAAGAAUGGCAUCAUUCAAAAUCUUAAUGUAGUGCAUUAUCCUGUGGUGGAUUACUUCUGGAGUAACAAAUAGCAAGGCUAUCUAACGAUAAUUCAAUAUUUCAGUCUAAAGUUUCUCAUUCUUCAUGUUCCAUCUACAUUUCUCUCUCUCUCUCUUUCUCUGUCUGUCUAUCUAUCUAUCUAUCUAUCUAUCUAUCUAUCUAUCUAAUCUAUCUAUCUACCAAUCUAUCUACCUUUCUAUCUAUCAUCUAUCUGAUCUAUCUCUAGUAAAGUGAAGCCUGGCAUUUAGAAAAGUGGCGUAUUCAUCCAUGUUGAGGUGUUGUGAGUUAAGAUAUAGGUAGGAAUAAAAUGGAAAACACUUUCCUUAAAUAUAUUUUAUAUUCUCCUACUAUUGAUUCCUUUACAACUAUUUCAAUUUAAGAAGAAAAAUGUCAGAUAGUGUGAUAUGAAUCAUGUUUGAGAAAUAUUUCCUUGAGAGUUUGACUAGUGCAACAAAAAAUAUCUGUAAGGGACAAUGAAUGUUAAAAAUGGUUUUAUUCCUGUGCUCGAGCAAAACCUACUCUUUUUAUGUAUUCUCAAUUUUCAGCCCUAGAAUGUGUUAUUAACUUGAAAGAAAAACUCUCCCAAAGAUCUAAAAGUUAUGCUGAUUUUUUAGAAAUAACUAAAGGUUUUCAAGACUACCAAAAUUUCAAGCUACAUGGGACAAUUACCAAUGUAUGGUGUGUGAGGGGAAGACUGUAGUAAGUUUAGAUGUCACUGAAUAUUUUUCACUAAGGGAUUUAAAGC
rnacentral:lncRNA from 1 species